rnacentral:rRNA from 1 species
UACGUAGGGUGCGAGCGUUGUCCGGAAUUAUUGGGCGUAAAGGGCUCGUAGGCGGUUUGUCACGUCAGGAGUGAAAACUCGGGGCUCAACCCCGAGCCUGCUUCUGAUACGGGCAGACUGGAGGUAUGCAGGGGAGAACGGAAUUCCUGGUGUAGCGGUGAAAUGCGCAGAUAUCAGGAGGAACACCGGUGGCGAAGGCAGUGUCCUGGGGAGUACCUGACGCUCAGGUGCGAAAGCCAGGGGAGCGAACGGG